ensembl:snRNA U6 U6 spliceosomal RNA
GUGCUUACUUUGGCAACACAGGGGCUAAAAUUCAGCUGAUACAGAGACAAUUAGCACGAAUUCUGAGUAAAAAUGACUCACAAAUUAGGAAAGUGUUAAUACUUGUA